AUGGGUGUAUACAUUUGGAUUCGUCUUUUUUAUUAUCAUAAUCUCUAUAAAGAAACACUUUCUCUUUGCAAUAGAAAACAUGACGAACAAAAAAUUGUUGGAACACAGCUAAUUUCAUUCAUGAUAAAUAUACCCCCAUAUAACUUUUGCAAAAAAGUUCAUUAUUUGGUGCAAUUUUUCGGUGAACAAAUAGCAAGAUUCCAAAGUGCAACACACUAUCGAGCAAUUUAA